rnacentral:pre_miRNA from 1 species
GAUUUCAACCGAAAAAGUUAUCAAUAACAAAGUUGUAUAACUCAUCAAGAUCUAAAAUUUCUAUUUUGGUUAUUUCUUUCUCCAACAAAGUGAUUUAUAAAAUUGUUCAUAAAAUGUACUUCUCCUAUAAAACUAUACAAGAGAUGUAGAAAAGAUGUACAUUUUGUGAACGAUCUUACAAAUCACUUUGUCCGGUUGAAGAAAUGACCAAAAUAGAAGUUAUAGACCUUGAUGAGUUAUACAACUUUGUUGUUGAUGACUUUUUCAGAUGAAAUC